AUAAGGUUAAAGCAUGCAUGUAUAAGUACACGCCUUAACAAGGUGAAACCGCGAACGGCUCAUUACAACAGCUAUAAUCUACUCGGUCUUGAACAGUUACUCGGAUAACUGUGGUAAUUCUAGAGCUAAUACGUGCACCGAGGCUGUCCCUCGCGGGGCAGUGCAUUUGUUGGAGCAAAACCAGGCGGCUUCGGCCGUUUUUGCUGACUCAGAACAACUCAGCUGAUCGCAUGGGCUUGUCCCGGCGACGUACCGUCCGAGUGUCUGCCUUAUCAACUUUCGAUGGUAGUGUACGUGACUACCAUGGUUGUGACGGGUAACGGAGGAUAAGGGUUCGACUCCGGAGAAGGGGCCUGAGAAAUGGCCACUACGUCUAAGGAUGGCAGCAGGCGCGCAAAUUACCCACUCUCGGUUCGAGGAGGUAGUGACGAAAAAUAACAAGGCUGUUCUCUACGAGGCCAGCCAUUGGAAUGGGUACAACACAAACCCUUUAACGAGUAUCAAUGAGAGGGCAAGUCUGGUGCCAGCAGCCGCGGUAAUUCCAGCUCUCAAAAUGCAUAGAACCAUUGCUGCGGUUAAAAAGCUCGUAGUUGGAUCUGUGCCGGCGACGUGGUCCACCCUAACGGGCGGUACUGCGCUCGUCGGCUUUGGGCCGGUCUCCGUGCGGUGGCCUUCACUGGUCGCCGUCCGUGGCUGGCUGGUUUACUUUGAGCAAAUCAGAGUGCUCAGCACAGGCGUCUCGCCGGAAUGUUCGUGCAUGGAAUAAUAGAAAAGGAUUUCGGUCCUCUUUUAUUGGUUUUGUGGACUGAGAUAAUGGUUAACAGAGACGAACGGGGGCAUUCGUAUUGCUGCGUGAGAGGUGAAAUUCUUGGACCGYAGYAGGACGGAACUACAGCGAAAGCAUUUGCCAAGCGCGUCUUCAUUAAUCAAGAACGAAAGUCAGAGGUUCGAAAGGCGAUCCAGAUACCGCCCUAGUUCUGAACCGUAAACGAUGCCAACUAGCGAUCCGACGGCGGCUCCAAAAAGGCCCUGUUGGGGAGCUUCCCGGAAACGAAAGUCUUCCGGUUCCGGGGGAAGUAUGGUUGCAAAGCUGAAACUUAAAGGAAUUGACGGAAGGGCACCACCAGGAGUGGAGCCUGCGGCUUAAUUUGACUCAACACGGGAAAACUCACCCGGCCCGGACACCGUGAGGAUUGACAGAUUGAUAGCUUUUUCAUGAUUCGGUGGUUGGUGGUGCAUGGCCGUUCUUAGUUCGUGGAUCGAUUUGUCUGGUUUAUUCCGAUAACGAGCGAGACUCCAGCCUACUAACUAGUGCGGGCGUUGUCUCUGCGCUUGUCACUUCUUAGAGGGAUUGGCUGCGCCUAGCGGCACGAAACGGAGCAAUAACAGGUCUGUGAUGCCCUUAGAUGUCCGGGGCUGCACGCGCGCUACACUGGCAAAGGCAGCGUGCUUGUCCGCCUCCGAAAGGAGCCGGUAAACCCUUGAAAAUUUGCCGUGAUUGGGAUCGGAAAUUGCAAUUAUUUUCCGUGAACGAGGAAUUCCUAGUAAGUGCGAGUCAUCAGCUCGCGUUGAUUACGUCCCUGCCCUUUGUACACACCGCCCGUCGCUGCCUAGAACUGAGCCAUUUCGAGAAUAUUCGGGAUCGCUGGUUGCGGGUCCUUCGGGGCACGCCUCUGGCUAAGGAACGAACGUAAUCGCAGUGGCUUGAACCGGGCAAAAGUCGUAACAAGGUAGCUUGUAGGUGA
rnacentral:rRNA from 1 species